ACAGCAGGACCCAGCUUCUCUUCCGCCUCAGAGAUGCCAACUUCCUCCUUGUCAAUUUCUUCAGGCGACUGACACGGAGAAGAAAGGAAACAUUAGUAAUCACCCUUCAAAGACGGGCUAGGAAGAAGAAAUGAUGAACCCAUAUUUAUGUAAUGCGGGUUCCCGUACCCUUGCUGGAAUGUACUCUCCAGGCCUUCAGACACUCUGUUCCAAGCCAUUUGCUGAAAAGCGUGAGAGGAAAGAGCCCAGGUGGCACAUUGGACAGAACACUGAGGAUUUCUGUGUUACAGCUGGGACUGGGCAUCUAGGAGGCAGAGCCUCUUAAUGGCGGAACAGGAUUUCACAGCACAAGAAGUAAAACAAUAAGGGACGGAAAGACGAGCCCUUCUCUCAAGCUCCACUUCCUGGUCCCUGUCCCAGCCUCACUGCGAUGGAUAAGAGCAAGCUCCUUGGAUUUUCUCAUGUGAAAGUGGAAAUAAUAACAGAAGCAGGGAUAGGGCUGUUAUAAGAACAGAGUAUCGGCUAGCACAAAGUGCUUCACAGAUUUUAGUUAUGCACAAUACAACCUUUAAGCACUGUC